rnacentral:rRNA from 1 species
UAGUCCACGCCGUAAACGAUGUUCACUCGCUGUUUGCGAUACACAGUAAGCGGCUGAGCGAAAGCAUUAAGUGAACCACCUGGGGAGUACGAUCGCAAGGUUGAAACUCAAAGGAAUUGACGGGGGCCCGCACAAGCGGAGGAACAUGUGGUUUAAUUCGAUGAUACGCGAGGAACCUUACCUGGGCUUAAAUGUAGAUUGCAUAGAUUAGAGAUAGUCUUUUUCUUCGGAACUAUCUACAAGGUGCUGCAUGGUUGUCGUCAGCUCGUGCCGUGAGGUGUCGGGUUAAGUCCCAUAACGGGCGCAACCCCUAUCGUUAGUUGCUAGCAGGUAAAGCUGAGGACUCUGGCGAGACUGCCACCGUAAGGUGAGAGGAAGGUGGGGAUGACGUCAAAUCAGCACGGCCCUUAUGUCCAGGGCUACACACGUGUUACAAUGGUCGGUACAAAGGGUAGCUACCUGGCAACAGGAUGCCAAUCCCAAAAGCCGAUCCCAGUUCGGA